rnacentral:tRNA from 1 species
GCCCUGCUGGCGCAAUGGUAGCGCGCAAGACUUCUAAUCAUCCCUUCGAUGAAUCGAUAUCUUGAGGCUGUGGGUUCGAGCCCCACGUGGGGCU